CAGCAGCCGCGGUAAUACGGAGGGUGCAAGCGUUAAUCGGAAUUACUGGGCGUAAAGCGCACGCAGGCGGUCUGACAAGUCGGAUGUGAAAUCCCUGAGCUUAACUUAGGAAUUGCAUUCGAUACUGGGAAGCUAGAGUAUGGGAGAGGAUGGUAGAAUUCCAGGUGUAGCGGUGAAAUGCGUAGAGAUCUGGAGGAAUACCGAUGGCGAAGGCAGCCAUCUGGCCUAAUACUGACGCUGAGGUACGAAAGCAUGGGGAGCAAACAGGAUUAGAUACCCCUGUAGUCCCUGUCUCUUAUAA
rnacentral:rRNA from 1 species